UACUAUGUUUCUGAGACUGCUCUGCCUCACUUGAGGGUGCUCCUUUUUGUCUCCAAACCUGGGUGUAAAGGUUCACAAUAGUAAGAUUCUGAGUCAGGAACUCAGAAUCUGUAGGAUGGAACUGGCCAGAGGGUUUGAGUGAAGGCAGUGGAUGUCAGGACCUAAUGCAGAAUGACAAUAAUCAGGGUACCCAGAACCCACUUUGCCUCUACCUUUGGCCAUUUUGGAGAAGAAACGUACAAGACUAGCACAAGUUAUACUGCUCCGCACAGCUAGAAGAGAACAUGGUUAACACAGGAAAAACAGCUAGUCAAAGCAGAUGGAGAACUGGCAGCCACCCUUUCUGUAGCAAGAACCUUUGAGUACUUGAAGAUAAUGUUUAAUCACUCCUCAGUCUUAUUGUCUCCAGAAUAAAAACAAAGUAGAAGGUUUUGUCUUUUGCUUUUUAAGGAUGUCAGAGGAUAUGGUUUAUUGUUGACCCAUAUAUAACAUUCAAAAUCCUUACAAGCAAGUGAAGGAAGAGGAAAGGAAUACACAAGAAUAAAGGUCCAGCAGGCCAGCUGGAAUGGAAAAGAAAGGCUAAAAGGAAGGAAUAAAGAAAACAUUCAU